UCCUGAGGCCCACUGCCUACCUGCCCAUUUGUAGGGAUUCCAGGCACAGUCUUAAUAACACAGGGGCUCCAAAGAGCCAGGUGCCUGGGUGGCAGGGUGAGGUGGGAGGGACGCAUAGGCCUUAUGGGCAGACUCCUGCAGUACCUGUCCAGGGCCGUGAUGGAGUGUGAUGGUAUCUGACCAGGGCAGCUUUAUCUGGUGAGACACUUGCCCUGAAACGGCAGGUGGUGGAUGGCAGACGGCCCAGGAGACCCAAAGCAACUGAACCCGACCCGGACUCCCUGCUGCUAGGCCAAGGCUGGUCCAGAUCCCCGAGGAGCAGCCAUCUGGCUUCACAGCUCUGAGCAGAACCAAAGCAGUCUACUGUGAGGGCACAGCUGCCAAGGAAAUGCCAUCCGCAGCCCGCACCGCCCACACAGAGCCAUCUCCAGGUGACCAGCACCUGCCCUGGCCAGCAAGUCCGAGGCCACACAUCCCUAAGCAGAUACGCUCGUGCCUGAGCCCCCAGGUCACUGGACACAGGACCCUGUGAUGACCUGCAAGCUACAGAGGAUCCUGUCACUCUCAUCACAAGCAGACCGACCCCGAGGACUUUCAUCAGUGCGCUGCCAGCUCCAGCCUGUUCCUCUUUUACUCUGUGAAAGUGGUCACCAAAAGCAUCCCCAUGCUGGAGCCCAAGGCCACCCAUUACCUCGGGUUCUGGCUGGUGAGAGUCCUGGUAACUUCAGCACUCUCCUGUUUCAACUUCUCCCUUCAAGUCUCUCUGCUCAUUGUGUCCUGUGUUUAUUUAUCAAAUGUACACAUUGUGCUCAUAGGCACUGGUGCCCAGGCCUGGUAUGAAAUAUUAAGUCACAAUCUUUUGAUUACUCCUGGAGAUCUUCACUAUCUUAGGCCCUGGUACAGAGAAGGAAACUGAGGCUUGGAGGAAUCACGAAAUCCUUGCCGUAUAGCAGGGUGAAGCUCAGUGGUGAGCAUUGGCCUACCAGGCUCUGAGCCCAGGAGAAAAGAAUCUCCUGCAGAGGGGCAGAGCCAGGUCCUCCACUCCAGGGCAGUCCGGACCGGGGCCAGGGACAGAGUUUCCCAUUCUGCUUCUGGUCCCAGGCUCUUGGAUACUCUCUCCUUAACUCACAUCACCCAGCAACUCUCUGUUGAAUGCUUACAGUAGUCUCACUUUAGUGUUCCAUUUAGGAGGGUGACAAAGAAUUGAAAGAAGUUUUUAGAGUUUUAAUUAUGCAAGUAGUGACAUCUUCCCUGAAAAAAAGAAUGUGGGAGCUGGAAACGAUGUGCAUGAUCUCUGUCUCCCCCGGUGUCCCGAUGCCACAGCAGAGCGUGUUGAUGAAUUUCCUGCCACCAUCUCACUGGACUGUGCAUUGUCUUUUACUGUAUUAUUUCUAUGAAAUAAUUCAAAGUAAAAGAAAAUUACAGAGAAUUUCUGUAUGAUGCCUCUGUGUCCACUUUUCAUCCUCAUUAAGCUUUGCAGCUCAUGUCAGAUUUUAAGUGAAAUAAAACAUUUAGAGACUAUAAUACAAUAUGUUCAAUUCCAAUACCCUUUCUGUCUUAGCAGUAACCUAAAUUUGGUGUUUACUAAUCCCGUGAAUUUUUAAUACAAAAAAAUCCCUACCUUAUCUGUGUAAGGUAUAAAGAAAGAUUUAGAAAAUCACUAUGUCAUAUAUCCAUAACCCAACUGACAAAGAGGAUGGAGGAUCCCCUGCCCUGGUCUCUUAUCUGAUUCCUUGUGUCACUUCCCUCUCAUUACCCAGACGAAACACUACCCACAAACCUGCACUUAUCAUUCCCAGGCCUCUCUAUAUGCUU